UUGAACGCUGGCGGCAUGCUUUACACCUGCAAGUCGAACGGUAACAGGCCUUCGGGUGCUGACGAGUGGCGAACGGGUGAGUAAUGCAUCGGAACGUACCCAGAGGUGGGGGAUAACGCAGCGAAAGCUGUGCUAAUACUGCAUGUGAUCUGAGGAUGAAAGCGGGGGACCGAGCAGCAAUGUUUGGCCUCGCGCCUUUGGAGCGGCCGAUGUCGGAUUAGCUAGUUGGUGGGGUAAAGGCCUACCAAGGCGACGAUCCGUAGCUGGUCUGAGAGGACGACCAGCCACACUGGGACUGAGACACGGCCCAGACUCCUACGGGAGGCAGCAGUGGGGAAUUUUGGACAAUGGGCGCAAGCCUGAUCCAGCAAUGCCGCGUGCGGGAAGAAGGCCUUCGGGUUGUAAACCGCUUUUGGCAGGAACGAAACGGUGUCCGCUAAUACCGGGCGCUAAUGACGGUACCUGCAGAAUAAGCACCGGCUAACUACGUG
rnacentral:rRNA from 1 species